rnacentral:tRNA from 1 species
GGGGCCAUUGUUUUGUGGUGCCAGAGCAGGCAACAGCCGGUGAGGCGUUACCUGGAUCGCACCCAGGAGGUCGCCGGUUCGAGCCCGGCUAGCUCCACCA